GGCCGAGUUGUAAUUUGCAGAGGAUGUUUUGAAACUUGUAUGCAAUCAAAUUCUUUGGAAAAAGAUGCCAUGGAAAGUGACAGUCUUGUGCUUUGUAAUACAUGUUUCGUACAAAACUCCUUCAAAGAGUCGAGUUGUUUGGGAAUGCAGCUCAAAGUGGGACGUAAAUUUGUUCCAAAGCUAAAUACCGGCUAGAGACCGAUAGCGCACAAGUAGAGUGAUCGAAAGAUGAAAAGCACUUUGAAAAGAGAGUUAAAAAGCACGUGAAAUUGUUGAAAGGGAAGCUUAUGUCAUCAGAAAUAUUCUCCAUGUUCAGCCGUAUGGUCAAUUCAUGGACGAAUAGGCUAGCAUUAAUUGAGAUUGUUGGAUAAAACUUUGGAAAUGUAGCUCUUCCGAGAGUGUUAUAGUCCAAAAUGUAAUACAACGCAUCUCGAUUGAGGACCGCUUAUAGGAUGCU
rnacentral:rRNA from 1 species